rnacentral:rRNA from 1 species
UACGAAGGGAGCUAGCGUUGUUCGGAAUCACUGGGCGUAAAGCGCACGUAGGUGGAUCAUUAAGUUAGGGGUGAAAGCCCGAGGCUCAACCUCGGAACUGCCUCUAAUACUGGUGAUCUAGAGUUCGAGAGAGGUGAGUGGAAUUCCUAGUGUAGAGGUGAAAUUCGUAGAUAUUAGGAAGAACACCGGUGGCGAAGGCGGCUCACUGGCUCGAUACUGACACUGAGGUGCGAAAGCGUGGGGAGCAAACAGG